rnacentral:rRNA from 1 species
AAUCUUGUAGUAGUAGCAUGGGCCUAUCGCUGAAGUUAACCCCUGGGCAUCCAAAUACUGUGGCUGGUUGGGUCAUGUUGAGAAUGGCUUUGAGUGCCUGUUCUGCUUCCACCUGGAUAACUGAUAAUUCCAGACCUAAUCCAAGCCCACAGGCACCAGCAGCUCUGGUGAUGGAGCGUCCCAUGGUCCUAUCAGCUACUUCAGAUGGAAGUCCGUAGUGCCUUAUGGUGAUCGGGAAUCCAGGUAAUAGGGGAUCAGUUUCGGCUCCAUAGAGGGAGCCUAAUAAUCAGCUAUCCCAAUCAAGGAAGGUCAGCAGAUGUGCAAAUUACAAUGGUGGAAAGCAAUACUGGAUUCCUUUGAUAUCCUGUAAUUGGAAUGAGUCCAUUUUAAAUCUUUGUUUAAAAAAUAUAUUUUUAUUGAUUUCAGAGAGGGAGGGAGAGGAAGAGAGAGAUAGAAACAUCAAUGAUAAGAGAGUCAUUGAUUGGCUGCCUCCUGCACGCCCCACACUGGGGAUCGAGCCCACAACCCAGGCAUAUGCCCUGAUUGGGAAUCGAACUGUGACCUUUUGGUUCAUAGGUCUAAGCUCAACCACUGAGCCACACCAGCCAGGCCACUUGAAAUCUUUUAAGGAGGAACGGCAAAUCUGGUGCUGGCAGCUGGGGUAAUUCCGGCUUCAGUGCAGGGUAUUGAAUUUGGUGCAGUUAAAUUGCCAAGCUUGGAUUGCUGGCACGGGUCCAUGGCUGAGGAGCCUUGGUCCCCAUCCCUGCCCCCUGCCUCUGUGUACUCCUGGCUCUUAGCAGUUUCCCGGUGUUGAAGUGUGUACUUGGAGAAAAUUAGAGUGCUCAAAGCAGGGCGCGAGCUGCCUGGAUGCUGCCACUAGGUAUCCUGGAAUGCGAGCAUGGUUCUGUUUUUUUUUUAAAACAUAUAUUUUAUUGAUUUUUUACAGAGAGGAAAGGAGAGGGAUAGAGAGUUAGAAACAUCCAUGAGAGAGAAACAUCCAUUAGCUGCCUCCUGCACACCCCCUACUGGGGAUGUGCCCGCAACCAAGGUACAUGCCCUUGACCGGAAUUGAACCUGGGACUCUUCAGUCCACAGGCCGAUGCUCUAGCCACUGAGCCAAACUGGUCAGGGCAAUGGUUCUGUUUUUUGUGUCGGAACUUCGCGGAGGCUGAUUAGAUGGGAUGCCUAGGGUGUUUGUUCCUAUUGCACCACUGAAGUUCAAAGUCUUAGUGCAGGACAGACCAGAGUGAAAGCUUUUUGCCAAGAAUACUUUAAAUAACAAGGAUGCAGGUGAAAGAAAGUAAGAGGUUUGAAGAGAUACAGAUCUCGGGUAGUUCUGACUAUAAACGAUGCAAACAGCCAGCAUUAUUCCCGUGAUCCACUGGCAGCUUCCAAGAAACCAAAGCCCAUUAGGUGGUGGUAGCUGGGGUCUGGUUCCAAAGGUGAACUGAAAGGCACCGCAAUGGAGUCUGCUAUUUGACUUAGUCUAGACAACCCCACUGACUCCGGCAGGGACAGGAUUGCCAUGGGUGGCGAUGUGUGGCAUUUCACUUGCAGAGUUAUUUGGCUGGCAUAUUGAUAGCCGAAGGAACUUUUGUGUGCUAACUAUUUAGGUUAUGUUGAGUGCUCAGUAUCCCUCAACUUCGACAAGUGGCGUUCCAGCCAAUGCCAGCGGCCCUUUAAGUCCAUUAGUGUUGUGCUUGGAUUGCAGUUAUUCUGCAUUAAGGAGUUCCCUGUGUGAGUAGAUCAAAAGGUUGCGUUAAAUUCCUGUCCCUUGUACACGCUGCCUGUUGCCCCUCAGAUUGCCCACUUGGGGUUGGCACUUGACCCCAGCAGAUCCUAGAGAAGAUCGUCUAAAUGAAAGUUGCAACCAGGUUUUGGUUGGUGAUCCUGCAGGAGGAGCAUUG